rnacentral:tRNA from 1 species
GCAGUCGUGGCCGAAAGGUAAAGGCGAUGGACUAGAAAUCCAUUGGGGUCUCCCCGCACAGGUUCGAAUCCUGUCGACUGCG